GUUGCUCCUCUGUGUUGCCUGAUUCAUGCACAUGUGCAUCCAUGCUCGCAGACCCCUAUUUAGUCUCUGAUUGGCUGAGUCUGUGGCGACAGGCAUACUGUAAGGCUGUAUGUGUGCGCAUGGCUGUGGAGACCUUCAGCUUGAAGGUGUGGGGGGAUCAGAGUCAGAGGAGGUGAUUGGCUGUUAACGAAAGUCACAGUAUCAGCUCGUCCUUAACCCACUGCCCUUCUUAUUUCCCCCUUCCCCCACGCUUGGCUCUGUUCACUUGGACAUGACUUAUAGAUCGGCUCUCUUUCUGCACGCCUUUCGUGCCCCCCACCCCCCCACGACGUGGCGCCCUCCUCCCUUUUCAAAUGUUAAAGAAUGUGACUUGAGGACGCGAGAGCGCAAACUAAUCGGGCUGUCAAUAUCGUCCCUCCCUACCAGAAAGGUAAAUGCGUUUUUUAAAAGGUCAGAAAUUUGCCACAAUACUCGUUUCCAGCGCGUGCUGUCUGCGCACGCAGAUCGCGGAGAGAACUACCAUCACAUCAUAACCCUGUGAGGUUUCGCUCUCGAGGAUGGAGAGCACAGAGGCAAAUCUGACUGGGAGAAAGCUGUGUACAGUGGUUGUGUGACUGGAGGAGCUAUUGGCUUUCGCUCUGGUCUGAAGGCUGGUGUUCUGGGAUGUGGAGGCUUUGCUGCAUUCUCUGCUGCAAUUAAAUAUUACUUGCGGUGAAGCUCUAUGGAAUGGCUUGAUGGACAAAAACAUAAAUAUUACACAUGUGGACCAGAGAAAGAAGACUCGUGCUGUGAGCUUGCUAACCCUGAUGUUUCCCUGCACAUCAAGGAUUGCUGUAAAAGCAUUUCUCAUGGUGAAUCUUCAAAGACAGUGCAGAGUGGGUCUGCUUCAGUGGCGCACUGAUCCGGUGACGAAAGCUGAACUUGUGUGAACUUUACUCUGGGUCUGUAAAAACUCAGAUGAGCACUCUUCUGCCUGUAAAACAUGGGUUUGAUGUGUAAGUAACUAAUCCACACCAGGAUUAUUUAUAAUAAAAGCACUUUUUAAAAUUGUG